rnacentral:ncRNA from 1 species
UUUUAUCGGGUAAAGCAAAUGAUUAGAGGCAUCGGGGGCGUAACGCCCUCGACCUAUUCUCAAACUUUAAAUAGGUAAGACGGUGUGGCUGCUCCAUUGAGCCGUGCCAUGGAAUCGAGAGCUGCAAGUGGGCCAUUUUUGGUAAGUAGAACUGGCGAUGCGGGAUGAACCGAAAGUCGAGUUACGGUGCCAAACUGCGCGCUAACCCAGAUCCCACAAAGGGUGUUGGUUG